rnacentral:lncRNA from 12 species
UACUGUGUGUCAGCGUCCUCCAGUGAGAAAGGAUUACAGCAUCGAAAGGAGAAGAAGAGAGGGGUGCAGAGAUUAUCUGAAUCAGCCUUACCUUUUUGAUUAGAGCGUUCAUUUAUACUUUAAUACAUUCCAAAGAUAAAAUUGCAUCAUUUAUAAAGAAACCGAGAACCCGGGGGAAGAUGGUCUCAAGUCAACAUGGUUUACUGGUCAAGAGAGCAAUACAACUGCCUCCUCUCAACCCAGGCUGCUGUGCUGUCCCUUAUAUUUUCUUCUUAUAGAGGAAGUUGUCAUGGUGAUGUAGUUAGGGAAAAUAAUGGGAGUCUACCCUUAGAAAACCAGGCAAAGAAUCAAAUCCCGCAGAAGUUUCCCGGAAACCCUUAA